rnacentral:rRNA from 1 species
AGUGAACGCUGGCGGUAGGCCUAACACAUGCAAGUCGAACGGCAGCACCGUAAGAGCUUGCUCUUACGGGUGGCGAGUGGCGGACGGGUGAGGAAUACAUCGGAAUCUACUUUUUCGUGGGGGCUAACGUAGGGAAACUUACGCUAAUACCGCAUACGACCUACGGGUGAAAGCAGGGGAUCUUCGGACCUUGUGCGAUUGAAUGAGCCGAUGUAGGAUUAGCUAGUUGGCGGGGUAAAGGCCCACCAAGGCGACGAUCCGUAGCUGGUCUGAGGGGAUGAUCAGACACACUGGAACUGAGACUCGGUCCAGACUCCUACGGGAGGCAGCAGUGGGGAAUAUUAGACAAUGGGCGCAAGCCUGAUCCAGCCAUACCGCGUGGGUGAAGAAGGCCUUCGGGUUGGAAAGCCCUUUUGUUGGGAAAGAAAAGCAGCAGGUUAAUACCCCGCUGUUCUGACGGUACCCAAAGAAUAAGCACCGGCUAACUUCGUG